GUGAACGCUGGCGGUAGGCCUAACACAUGCAAGUCGAACGGCAGCACAGUAAGAACUUGCUCUUACGGGUGGCGAGUGGCGGACGGGUGAGGAAUACAUCGGAAUCUACUUUUUCGUGGGGGAUAACGUAGGGAAACUUACGCUAAUACCGCAUACGACCUACGGGUGAAAGCAGGGGAUCUUCGGACCUUGCGCGAUUGAAUGAGCCGAUGUCGGAUUAGCUAGUUGGCGGGGUAAAGGCCCACCAAGGCGACGAUCCGUAGCUGGUCUGAGAGGAUGAUCAGCCACACUGGAACUGAGACACGGUCCAGACUCCUACGGGAGGCAGCAGUGGGGAAUAUUGGACAAUGGGCGCAAGCCUGAUCCAGCCAUACCGCGUGGGUGAAGAAGGCCUUCGGGUUGUAAAGCCCUUUUGUUGGGAAAGAAAAGCAGCAGGUUAAUACCCCGCUGUUCUGACGGUACCCAAAGAAUAAGCACCGGCUAGCUUCGUG
rnacentral:rRNA from 1 species